rnacentral:rRNA from 1 species
CAGUCGCCGCGGUAAUACGUAGGUGGCAAGCGUUGUCCGGAAUUAUUGGGCGUAAAGGGCUCGCAGGCGGUUUCCUAAGUCUGAUGUGAAAGCCCCCGGCUCAACCGGGGAGGGUCAUUGGAAACUGGGAAACUUGAGUGCAGAAGAGGAGAGUGGAAUUCCACGUGUAGCGGUGAAAUGCGUAGAGAUGUGGAGGAACACCAGUGGCGAAGGCGGCUCUCUGGUCUGUAACUGACGCUGAGGAGCGAAAGCGUGGGGAGCGAACAGGAUUAGAUACCCCUGUAGUCCCUGUCUCUUAUAU